rnacentral:rRNA from 1 species
AGAGUUUGAUCCUGGCUCAGGACGAACGCUGGCGGCGUGCCUAAUACAUGCAAGUCGAGCGAGCUUGCCUAGAUGAUUUUAGUGCUUGCACUAAAUGAAACUAGAUACAAGCGAGCGGCGGACGGGUGAGUAACACGUGGGUAACCUGCCCAAGAGACUGGGAUAACACCUGGAAACAGAUGCUAAUACCGGAUAACAACACUAGACGCAUGUCUAGAGUUUGAAAGAUGGUUCUGCUAUCACUCUUGGAUGGACCUGCGGUGCAUUAGCUAGUUGGUAAGGUAACGGCUUACCAAGGCAAUGAUGCAUAGCCGUGUUGAGAGACUGAUCGGCCACAUUGGGACUGAGACACGGCCCAAACUCCUACGGGAGGCAGCAGUAGGGAAUCUUCCGCAAUGGGCGAAAGCCUGACGGAGCAACGCCGCGUGAUCGAAUGAAGGCCUUCGGGUUGUAAAGAUCUGUUGACAGGGACGAAUAAGCCAUGCGAAUAGUUUGGUGUAUGACGGUACCUGUUUAGAAAGCUCCGGCUAACUACGUGCCAGCAGCCGCGGUAAUACGUAGGGAGCAAGCGUUGUCCGGAAUUACUGGGCGUAAAGGGCGCGUAGGUGGGUGCUUAAGUCAGGUGUGAAAACUCUGGGCUCAACCUAGAGACUGCACUUGAAACUGGGUAUCUUGAGGGCAGGAGAGGAAAGUGGAAUUCCUAGUGUAGCGGUGAAAUGCGUAGAUAUUAGGAGGAACACCAGUGGCGAAGGCGACUUUCUGGACUGUACCUGUACGCUGAGGCGCGAAAGCGUGGGUAGCGAACGAGAGAUUAGAUACCCCGGUAGUCCACGCCGUAAACGAUGAAUUCUAGGUGUAGGAGGGAUCGGACUCCUUCUGGUCCCGCAGCAAACGCAAUAAGUAUUCCGCCUGGGGACUACGGUCGCAAGACUAAAACUUCAAAGGAAUUGACGGGGACCCGCACAAGCGGUGGAGCAUGUGGUUUAAUUCGACGCAACGCGAAGAACCUUACCAGGGCUUGACAUCCCUCGCUAUCUGUGGAAACACGGAGUUCCGUAGCUUGCUACGGACGAGGAGACAGGUGGUGCAUGGUUGUCGUCAGCUCGUGUCGUGAGAUGUUGGGUUAAGUCCCGCAACGAGCGCAACCCCUACGUCCAGUUGCCAGCACGUUAAGGUGGGAACUCUGGAGGAACUGCCGGUGACAAACCGGAGGAAGGUGGGGAUGACGUCAAAUCAUCAUGCCCUUUAUGUUCUGGGCUACACACGUGCUACAAUGGCCGGUACAGAGGGCGGCGAAGCCGCGAGGUGGAGCGAAUCCCAAAAAGCCGGUCUAAGUUCGGAUUGCAGGCUGCAACCCGCCUGCAUGAAGUCGGAAUCGCUAGUAAUCGCGAGUCAGCAUAUCGCGGUGAAUACGUUCCCGGGUCUUGCACUCACCGCCCGUCA